GAUUAAAGUUGGCGGCGUGCCUAAGGUAUGCAAGUCGAGCGAUUCUAUUUGAUCCGCAAGGUGACGAUAGAAUAGCGGCGAACGGCUGAGUAACGCGUGGGAAUCUACCCCAAAGUCGAGGAUAGCCCACCGAAAGGUGGAGUAAUCCUGGAUGUAGUCUUCGGAUUAAAGUCGCAAGACGCUUUGGGAUGAGCCUGCGUCCUAUCAGGUUGUUGGCGGGGUAAAUGCCCACCAAGCCUUUGACGGGUAGCUGGUCUGAGAGGAUGACCAGCCAGAAUGGGACUGAGACACGGCCCAUACUCCUACGGGAGGCAG
rnacentral:rRNA from 1 species